CAUGCAGUAAUGUGACUCCUCUGUUCCCUCUGAGGGAAAGGAUGUAGAAGACUCAAGCAUCCCAAAUGACUAAGCACCCACCAGAAAGCAAAACUAGAUGGUUAGUCAUGAAGCUGAGAGAGCAGUCAUUCACUGCAUGAAUCUUGAAAGGAAGCAAGAAGAGGAAAGCCACUGGACAACUUUGAGAAGAGGCAGAAGAACAUACGUUUUGCUUCAUGUUUUGGGAGAUGUGGACUAACAUUUUCACGUCGUCAAAAAGAUGACGCCUCAAGCCAAGGUAUUUGGGGUUUAAUUGAGCAAGUCGGUCGUGGCCCAGGGCAGGAGUGGCGCUACAUGAGCAAUUAAAUCUGAUUAGCCCGAGCCCUUUAAGCCCCAGCUGGGUGAUUGAUAACCGAGACCUACAUUCUUCAAUUGACUCGCUACAUCAAAAAGGAGAAAGGCUUAAGGAGAAAGGAGGAGAAACGCAUGGGUCCAACAUGAAAAAUAGCAAAGGAGCUGAGCUAACGGCAAAGGGAGCAGAGAGAACAGUCCUGGGCAGACCAUAAAAUAAAUCCGUAAGUGUCUCCUCCUUUAAAACUCA
rnacentral:lncRNA from 14 species